AGACCCGAAACCCGGUGAUCUAGCCAUGGGCAGGUUGAAGGUUGGGUAACACUAACUGGAGGACCGAACCGACUAAUGUUGAAAAAUUAGCGGAUGACUUGUGGCUGGGGGUGAAAGGCCAAUCAAACCGGGAGAUAGCUGGUUCUCCCCGAAAGCUAUUUAGGUAGCGCCUCGUGAAUUCAUCUCCGGGGGUAGAGCACUGUUUCGGCAAGGGGGUCAUCCCGACUUACCAACCCGAUGCAAACUGCGAAUACCGGAGAAUGUUAUCACGGGAGACACACGGCGGGUGCUAACGUCCGUCGUGAAGAGGGAAACAACCCAGACCGCCAGCUAAGGUCCCAAAGUCAUGGUUAAGUGGGAAACGAUGUGGGAAGGCCCAGACAGCCAGGAUGUUGGCUUAGAAGCAGCCAUCAUUUAAAGAAAGCGUAAUAGCUCACUGGUCGAGUCGGCCUGCGCGGAAGAUGUAACGGGGCUAAACCAUGCACCGAAGCUGCGGCAGCGACACUGUGUGUUGUUGGGUAGGGGAGCGUUCUGUAAGCCUGUGAAGGUGUGCUGUGAGGCAUGCUGGAGGUAUCAGAAGUGCGAAUGCUGACAUAAGUAACGAUAAAGCGGGUGAAAAGCCCGCUCGCCGGAAGACCAAGGGUUCCUGUCCAACGUUAAUCGGGGCAGGGUGAGUCGACCCCUAAGGCGAGGCCGAAAGGCGUAGUCGAUGGGAAACAGGUUAAUAUUCCUGUACUUGGUGUUACUGCGAAGGGGGGACGGAGAAGGCUAUGUUGGCCGGGCGACGGUUGUCCCGGUUUAAGCGUGUAGGCUGGUUUUCCAGGCAAAUCCGGAAAAUCAAGGCUGAGGCGUGAUGACGAGGCACUACGGUGCUGAAGCAACAAAUGCCCUGCUUCCAGGAAAAGCCUCUAAGCAUCAGGUAACAUCAAAUCGUACCCCAAACCGACACAGGUGGUCAGGUAGAGAAUACCAAGGCGCUUGAGAGAACUCGGGUGAAGGAACUAGGCAAAAUGGUGCCGUAACUUCGGGAGAAGGCACGCUGAUAUGUAGGUGAAGUCCCUC
rnacentral:rRNA from 1 species